GAGAGUAGGCGAGACGGUUGCGAACUAUAACCUAGUUCGAGGAAAGUCCGGGCUUCCGAAAGACCAAACCUGCUGGAUAACGUCCAGUGCGUGUGAACGUGAGGAUAGUGCCACAGAAACAUACCGCCGAUGGAGUGAUUCACUCUCAGGUAAGGGUGCAAGGGUGCGGUAAGAGCGCACCAGCAGCAUCGAGAGGUGCUGGCUCGGUAAACCCCGGUUGGAAGCAAGGCAGUGGGAGCAAUGGUUGGUCUUUUACCUGCUCUGGAUGGGGGUUCGCCCCUAUGCGUCCGCUUGAGGUGCUUGGUAACAAGUAUCCCAGAUAGAUAACCGUCCCCUGGCUGCCUGGCGGUCAGGUGACAGAACCCGGCUUAUGACCUGCUCUCUCUU
rnacentral:RNase_P_RNA from 1 species